AUUGAACGCUAGCGGGAUGCCUUACACAUGCAAGUCGAACGGAGUGGCGAACGGGUGAGUAAUGUAUCGGAACGUGCCCAGUAGCGGGGGAUAACUACGCGAAAGCGUAGCUAAUACCGCAUACUAUUGGAGCGGCCGAUAUCGGAUUAGCUAGUUGGUGGGGUAAAGGCUCACCAAGUCGACGAUCCGUAGCUGUUUUGAGCGGGCGACCGGCCAAACGGGGACUGAGACACGGCCCAGAACCCUACGGGAGGCAGCAGUGGGGAAUUUUGGAAAAUGGGGGAAACCCUGAUACAGCCAUCCCGCGUGUGCGAUGAAGGUUUUCGGGUUGUAAAGCACUUUUGGCAGGAAAGCGGUACCUGAAGAAAAAGCAACGGCUAACUACGUGCCAGCAGCCGCGGUAAUAC
rnacentral:rRNA from 1 species